UACGCAGGGGGCAAGCGUUGUCCGGAUUUAUUGGGCGUAAAGAGCGUGUAGGCGGCCAUGUAGGUCCGUUGUGAAAACUCGAGGCUCAACCUCGAGACGCCGAUGGAAACCAUGUGGCUAGAGUCCGGAAGAGGAGAGUGGAAUUCCUGGUGUAGCGGUGAAAUGCGCAGAUAUCAGGAAGAACACCCGUGGCUAAGGCGGCUCUCUAGUACGGUACUGACGCUGAGACGCGAAAGCGUGGGGAGCGAACAGG
rnacentral:rRNA from 1 species